rnacentral:misc_RNA from 1 species
UUUGAAUUGUUCCCGCCAUUUUCGUGUACUUACAUCCUGCUUAUUGAUGUGAACUGUACCUAUUUUCCAAAAAUGAAAAUAAGCCUUUAAGGUAGUUUGCUUUAUUCAAUAGUGAUUCGCUUAUCUAGUUUCGUGGUAAUCAAUGUUUCAGCUAAAUAAGGCAAGGGCGGAACAAGUAUUUCGCCGGAAAGUGUAUGGGGAGGAUGAUCGAGAUAGGUACGAAGGAGGAGGCAUUGUACCGAUUUACAUUGUGAAAUUUUUUGAAUCCUUAUUUAAAACAAGAGAACAGAAUAAACAUGUCUUAUGAAACAAAGUACAUAUUUGCCACAUUACCCAGAACACAAAGAGGACAACCUCUUGUAUUAGGGGGUGAUCCUAAAGGGAAAAACUUUUUAUACACUAAUGGCAAUAGUGUGAUUAUUAGAAAUAUUGAUAAUCCAGCUAUUGCUGACAUUUACACAGAACAUUCAUGCCCAGUUAAUGUUGCAAAAUAUUCUCCAAGUGGAUUUUACAUAGCAUCUGGUGAUCAGUCAGGUAAAGUACGUAUUUGGGAUACUGUUAACAAAGAACAUAUUUUGAAGAAUGAAUUCCAUCCUAUUGGAGGGCCCAUUAAAGAUAUAGCAUGGUCACCUGACAAUCAACGCAUGGUAGUAGUUGGAGAAGGAAGAGAAAGAUUUGGUCACGUAUUUAUGGCGGAAACUGGUACAUCUGUAGGUGAAAUUUCUGGGCAGAGUAAACCCAUCAAUUCAUGUGACUUUAGACCUGCAAGACCAUUUAGAUUAAUCACUGGAAGUGAAGACAAUACUAUUGCCGUUUUCGAAGGACCGCCGUUCAAAUUUAAAAUGACGAAGCAGGAACAUACACGAUUUGUUCAAGCUGUGCGUUAUUCACCUAGCGGCAAUUUGUUUGCAUCUGCAGGAUUCGAUGGAAAAGUGUUUAUUUAUGACGGUACAAGCUCCGAUUUAGUUGGAGAAGUCGGAUCUCCCGCUCAUCAAGGUGGAGUGUAUGGAGUAGCUUGGAAACCAGAUGGAACCCAGUUAUUAACUGCUUCUGGUGACAAAACAUGUAAACUUUGGGACGUAGAAACUCGCUCGUUGGUCAGCGAAUUUAACAUGGGAUCAACUGUCGAUGAUCAACAAGUCAGCUGUUUAUGGCAAGGAAAUCAUUUACUGUCUGUAUCUCUAAGCGGUUUUAUUAAUUAUCUUGAUGUUGACAAUCCCGCAAAACCGAUUAGAAUAAUAAAAGGACAUAAUAAACCAAUAACAGUAUUAACUUUAAGCUCUGAUAGAAGUACAAUUUAUACCGGAUCUCAUGACGGCUAUAUUACCAACUGGAAUGCAACUACUGGGGAAAAUGACCGUGUUCAAGGCCAUGGUCAUGGAAAUCAGAUUAAUGGAAUGAAAACUGCAAAGAACAUACUUUAUACUGUUGGCAUUGAUGACACUUUAAGAUCAGUUGAUAUCACUACAAACACGUAUACAGAAACAUGCGUGGUUAAACUAGACUCUCAACCACGGGGUUUAGACAUUUACAAUGAUAUAGUUGUAAUUGUAACUGUUCGACAGAUAACAGUCACACAGGAUGGUCGAAAAAUAUCAAGCGUGCCUAUUGAUUAUGAACCAUCUAGUGUAUCGAUAAACCAAGAAAAUGGUGAUGUGGCUGUAGGAGCUACAUCAGAUAAUUCAAUUCAUGUUUAUACGCUCUCAGGUACCAAUCUAUCUCCAAAAAUUCAAUUGGAACAUCUAGGUUCAGUAACUGAUGUCGCUUAUAGUCCUGAUAGCAAAUACUUGGUGGCUUGUGACACAAAUAGAAAAGUGGUUCUUUAUACUGUUUCGGAGUACAAGUGCAAUUAAAUAUCCAUUAUUAGCAAAGCAUACAUAACUGCUAGUAUCUGUGUACAUGUGUGUUUUUAUGUACAAAUUUGUUUGUAAAAAUUGCUCCACCUAAACGCUUGUUGGAUUUUUAGAGGCUUGCACACAAUAGAGAAUGGGGUUUUCAUAAUGCCAGAGUAAAUUCCGUGGCGUGGUGUCCUGAUUCGACUAUGGUCGCAAG